UACGAAGGGUGCAAGCGUUACUCGGAAUUACUGGGCGUAAAGCGUGCGUAGGUGGUGAGUUAAGUCUGUCGUGAAAGCCCCGGGCUCAACCUGGGAAUGGCGAUGGAUACUGGCUCGCUAGAGUGCGGUAGAGGAGAGUGGAAUUCCCGGUGUAGCAGUGAAAUGCGUAGAGAUCGGGAGGAACAUCAGUUGCGAAGGCGGCUCUCUGGACUAGCACUGACACUGAGGCACGAAAGCGUGGGGAGCAAACAGGG
rnacentral:rRNA from 1 species